GAGUUUGAUUAUGGCUCAGAUUGAACGCUGGCGGCAUGCUUUACACAUGCAAGUCGAACGGCAGCACGGAAGAGCUUGCUCUUUUGGUGGCGAGUGGCGAACGGGUGAGUAACGCAUCGGAACGUACCGAGUAGUGGGGGAUAACUGUCCGAAAGGAUGGCUAAUACCGCAUAUUCUCUGAGGAGGAAAGCAGAGGACCUUCGGGCCUUGCGCUAUUUGAGCGGCCGAUGUCUGAUUAGCUAGUUGGUGGGGUAAAGGCCUACCAAGGCGACGAUCAGUAGCGGGUCUGAGAGGAUGAUCCGCCACACUGGGACUGAGACACGGCCCAGACUCCUACGGGAGGCAGCAGUGGGGAAUUUUGGACAAUGGGGGGAACCCUGAUCCAGCCAUGCCGCGUGUCUGAAGAAGGCCUUCGGGUUGUAAAGGACUUUUGUCAGGGAAGAAAAGCUUGAGGUUAAAACCCUUGAGUGAUG
rnacentral:rRNA from 1 species